CCUACGGGAGGCAGCAGUGAGGAAUAUUGGUCAAUGGGAGAGAUCCUGAACCAGCCAAGCCGCGUGAGGGAAGACGGCCCUAUGGGUUGUAAACCUCUUUUGUCGGGGAACAAAACCCGGGACGUGUCCCGUACUGCGUGUAUCCGAAGAAUAAGCAUCGGCUAACUCCGUGCCAGCAGCCGCGGUAAUACGGAGGAUGCGAGCGUUAUCCGGAUUUAUUGGGUUUAAAGGGUGCGUAGGCGGUCCGUUAAGUCAGCGGUAAAAUUGCGGGGCUCAACCUCGUCGAGCCGUUGAGACUGGCAGACUUGAGUUGGGGAGAGGUAGGCGGAAUGCGCGGUGUAGCGGUGAAAUGCAUAGAUAUCGCGCAGAACUCCGAUUGCGAAGGCAGCGUACCGGCGCCAGACUGACGCUGAGGCACGAAAGCGUGGGGAUCGAACAGGAUUAGAUACCCCGGUAGUC
rnacentral:rRNA from 1 species